rnacentral:rRNA from 1 species
UGGGGAAUAUUGCACAAUGGGCGCAAGCCUGAUGCAGCCAUGCCGCGUGUGUGAAGAAGGCCUUCGGGUUGUAAAGCACUUUCAGCGGGGAGGAAGGCGAUAAGGUUAAUAACCUUGUCGAUUGACGUUACCCGCAGAAGAAGCACCGGCUAACUCCGUGCCAGCAGCCGCGGUAAUACGGAGGGUGCAAGCGUUAAUCGGAAUUACUGGGCGUAAAGCGCACGCAGGCGGUCUGUCAAGUCGGAUGUGAAAUCCCCGGGCUCAACCUGGGAACUGCAUUCGAAACUGGCAGGCUAGAGUCUUGUAGAGGGGGGUAGCAUUCCAGGUGUAGCGGUGACAUGCGUCAAGAUCUGUAGGAAUACCGGUGGCGAAGGCGGCCCCCUGGACAAAGACUGACGCUCAGGUGCGAAAGCGUGGGGAGCAAACAGG